GACGUAGGGCGCGAGCGUUGUCCGGAUUUAUUGGGCGUAAAGAGCUCGUAGGCGGCUUGUCGCGUCGGCUGUGAAAACCCGCGGCUCAACUGUGGGCGGGCAGCUGAUACGGGCAGGCUGGAGUUCGGUAGGGGAGACUGGAAUUCCUGGUGUAGCGGUGAAAUGCGCAGAUAUCAGGAGGAACACCGGUGGCGAAGGCGGGGCUCUGGGCCGAUACUGACGCUGAGGAGCGAAAGCGUGGGGAGCGAACAGG
rnacentral:rRNA from 1 species